rnacentral:rRNA from 1 species
AACGAACGCUGGCGGCAUGCCUAACACAUGCCAGUCGAACGAGACCUUCGGGUCUAGUGGCGCACGGGUGCGUAACGCGUGGGAACCUGCCCUUAGGUUCGGAAUAACUCCCCGAAAGGGGUGCUAAUACCGGAUAAUGUCUUCGGACCAAAGAUUUAUCGCCUUUGGAUGGGCCCGCGUUGGAUUAGCUAGUUGGUAGGGUAAAAGCCUACCAAGGCGACGAUCCAUAGCUGGUCUGGGAGGAUGAUCAGCCACACUGGGACUGAGACACGGCCCAGACUCCUACGGGAGGCAGCAGUGGGGAAUAUUGGACAAUGGGCGAAAGCCUGAUCCAGCAAUGCCGCGUGAGUGAUGAAGGCCUUAGGGUUGUAAAGCUCUUUUACCCGGGAUGAUAAUGACAGUACCGGGAGAAUAAGCUCCGGCUAACUCCGUG